CGGCGCCCGCGCGGUCCCUCCGGGGGUGCCCCCUCGAGACUCCGGAGAGCGAUCAGCAGGAAAAACCUCCAUACCUUGGAUUCUAGAUCCCUGGGUCCCCUUACCCCAGGAGGGCACUAAUAGCUUACUCAGUGGUAUUGAGGCUGUCCAGCAGACCAUCCCACUUUGAUUUGGAAGAUCAGUGCCUAUGCAAGAGGAAAAGCAUGCAAUUGGGAAUAGGACAGAGGGUUUCCAGAGAGGAGGAACACCCAGGACAAAGGAGGGGUAACACGAAUUCCUGAGAACUGACCACCAAGUUCAUGACUUUUGGAGCCCAGACCAAAAGUCUUCUAGGGCCCAAGCUUGGGACAGAAGGAGUGGAUGCCACCAUCAGAGGAUGCCUGUUACCUCAAGGUAUGUCCAAGUAUGAGUAGGCCUGGGCACAAAGCCAGGUAAGCAGGACCUGCUUCAGGUGGGCAAGGUUACUGGAUCGCCUCAAGGAGAGGAUUCCCCAAGGCCCUGGUCAACAGGGCUGCUUUAAAAUUGUUGUAAUACCCAAGGACUUACUUUAGGAUACCCUACCCCACAUCAUAUAAAACGUAUUGAAAUGUACCAUGUCCCAGCUUAAAUAAAAUUUCUUUAGCUAAAAAAGUUGUUUUUGAGUUUUUAUAAUUUUGCUUUUAUUUUUCUUUGUUUAAUUCAUUUAAUUUAUGU
rnacentral:lncRNA from 1 species